GACGAACGCUGGCGGCGUGCCUAAUACAUGCAAGUCGAGCGAACCAAUGGGAGCUUGCUCCCUGAGGUUAGCGGCGGACGGGUGAGUAACACGUGGGUAACCUGCCUGUGAGAUUGGGAUAACUCCGGGAAACCGGAGCUAAUACCGGAUAAUAUUUUGAACCGCAUGGUUCAAAAUUGAAAGACGGCUUCGGCUGCCACUUACAGAUGGACCCGCGGGGCAUUAGCUAGUUGGUGGGGUAACGGCUCACCAAGGCGACGAUGCGUAGCCGACCUGAGAGGGUGAUCGGCCACACGAGAACGGGGACAGGGCCAAGACUCCUACGGGAGGCAGCAGUAGGGAAUCUUCCGCAAUGGACGAAAGUCUGACGGAGCAACGCCGCGUGAACGAUAAAGGCCUUGGGGUCGUAAAGUUCGGUUGUUAGGGAAGAACAAGUACCAGAGUAACUGCUGGUACCUUGACGGUACCUAACCAGAAAGCCACGGCUAACUACGUG
rnacentral:rRNA from 1 species